UUUGGUAUUAGUGAAGCACUCUUUGUGUACAAAGAUAUUCUUUAUUACCUUAGAAUGAAGAAGGCAUGGCUCCUGUGGUUUGAUUAUUGUUAAGCACAAAGUAUGGAGUAUCAUCUUGCAUGUAUUCUUAGCCAUUUUGUUUAGAAUUUGACCAAUUUUUGCCUUGCUUCUAUAAUUUUAAAAUAAGUUAAAAUUCUCUUUCAGCAUUCAAAGAAAUCUGAGAACAGCAACAACACUUCUUAAGCUUCAUUUCAAAAACAAAGAAAUCAAGAUCAAGGGAUGAUAUCUUUAAACUCCUGACAAUGGCGUUGUACGUUUGAACACUUUGAACGUCACCACCUAAAUGUGCUAAAAGUUCUGCACCACCUCCAUCUGACAGUUUUUCAAAGGAUAUUCCAACACAUGGAUCACCUUACCCGAAAAAACAUCCCUUACAAAUACCAGAACUUAAAAGAUCAUUAUGAUGGAUGUAAAGGAAACACCAUUUGCGAACAAUAGAAGAGAAGCCUCUUCAAAAUUUCAAAGUAGUGCUGUAGGCAUUCAAAAGCAUAUUGAAAUUUCUCAUAUUUUGUUUUAUGUUUUUUUCUUUCAUAAAUAUAUUGCUUAUACCUGAAAUGAAAGAUAGAUGGGUCAGGACCAAUAAUCAAAAAACAAUAUCAAGUGUGAGCAAUUUGGAGACUUUUUCAAUUUACAGUAUCCCAAUGCUAGGAUGUGUACUGAACCACACUGCCAUCUUUUAUUGAUGUGAUGAGUAGCAUUUCUGCAUUAAGGACCAGUGGGGACAGUUCCUGAGCAAUAUGCUUCCCUCUGUAAUUUAAUGUAUUAUUAAAAUGUUUAUAACAAUCUUCA